rnacentral:sRNA from 1 species
UUACCCCGAAUUUGUUACAGUGUUAGGUCUACCAGCUAACUCAGAGCCUCAGAUGAUCUUGAGAAUGACAUAUUUAGAUUUGUGAUUUUUUUUUUAACCUGUUUUAGAAUCAAAUCUGAUUGUUACAUAUUUGUGGAUUUAUUCAUUUAGCUUUUCCCGUUAACAUUUUAACUUAAAAGGUGGAUAGAAUUGGGUGUAGAGAAAACACUUAAGUACAUGGAAGACUAUCUGGCCAUAUUAAACGUUAGACAACCUUUGCAAUGUAACAAUUUUAUAUCUUUCACUGUAGGAAGUUAAACCGAAUUUAACAGAGAGAAUUCAGGACUAUGACGUGUCUCUUGAUAAAGCCCUUGAUGAACUAAUGGAUGGUGACAUCAUAGUAUUUCAGAAGGAUGACCCUGAAAAUGAUAACAGUGAAUUACCCACCGCAAAGGAGUAUUUCCGAGAUCUCUACCACCGCGUUGAUGUCAUUUUCUGUGAUAAAACAAUCCCUAAUGAUCCUGGAUUUGUGGUUACGUUAUCAAAUAGAAUGAAUUAUUUUCAGGUAUUUAAUAAAUGCUCCUUUCCU